AAGUCGUAACAAGGUUUCCGUAGGUGAACCUGCGGAAGGAUCAUUAACACGUAUCCAACGUUAAACCCCCCCGUGAACUUGAGCCACGUCGCAGUUUGGCCGCCGUGGAGAAUGCUAGCAAUCCGUUCAUGCGCCCCCGUCGUAGAACCCGGUGAAUUGUGACUUCUGGCGGACUCCCGGCCUGCUUUGAACGCUGUAUCAGCAUGUUGAUCCCGAGCCGUCGCACUCAGGAUUAUUAACGACCACUGAUCGAUCACCGAUCUUUUGGCAACAGUGCUCCUGCCGUGAAUGGCACUGAUGAACCACAUGCUCAAUCACUUACUACACUCCGCGCUAACAACGUAGGAGAAAAACGAUUACACAACUGUUAACAAUGGAUAUCUUGGUUCUC
rnacentral:misc_RNA from 1 species